rnacentral:misc_RNA from 1 species
CAACACCUCAAAGCUUGCUUUGGUUAUGGGACGGGUCGGCCCCUCUCUCAGGGGCACGCCCUCCUUAACGUUGCCCGACGAUAGCGAACCAGCAGCCUGGCAGUAGACGUAGUAAAUUUUUCUCGUUUGCCUGCCAGUGGGGCCGGUCGCCAACAAAAACCCCCCAAACC